rnacentral:lncRNA from 1 species
GUCAGAGGUCAGAGGCUGUACAGUAACACGCUAUACAUGAGGUCAUAGGCUGUACAGUAACAUGCUAUACAUGAGGUCAGAGGUCAGAGGCUGUACAGUAACACGCUAUACAUGAGGUCAGAGGCUGUACAGUAACACGCUAUACAUGAGGUCAGAGGCUGUACAGUAACACGCUAUACAUGAGGUCAGAGGCUGUACAGUAACACGCUAUACAUGAGGUCAGCGGCUGUACAGUAACACGCUAUACAUGAGGUCAGAGGUCAGAGGCUGUACAGUAACACGCUAUACAUGAGGUCAGAGGUCAGAGGCUGUACAGUAACAUGCUAUACAUGAGGUCAGAGGCUGUACAGUAACA